CGCGAGUGGCUCAUUAUAACAGCUAUCAUUUACUUGAUCUUGACACAAUCCUACUUGGAUAACUGUGGUAAUUCUAGAGCUAAUACAUGCAUUAAAGCUCUGACCUCACGGGAAGAGUGCAUUUAUUAGAACAAAACCAAGCGGCUUCGGCUGUUUCUGGUUGACUCAUAGUAACUGAGCUGAUCGCAUGGUCUCGCACCGGCGACGUGUCUUUCAAGUAUCUGCCGUAUCAACUUUCGAUGGUAGUGUAUCUGGCUACCAUGGUGAUCACGCGUAACGGAGAAUAAGGGUUCGGCUCCGGAGAGUUCGCCUGAGAAAUCGCGAACACAUCUAAGGAAGGCAGCAGGCGCGAAAAUUACCCACUCUCAGCACGAGGAGGUAGUGACGAAAAAUAACGAGACCGUUCUCUUAUGAGGCCGGUCAUCGGAAUGGGUACAAUUUAAACCCUUUAACGAGUAUCUAUGAGAGGGCAAGUCUGGUGCCAGCAGCCGCGGUAAUUCCAGCU
rnacentral:rRNA from 1 species